rnacentral:misc_RNA from 1 species
UACGAAAGAAAAUGAAUCAUGGCUCGAACAACUGCAAGCAAUGGUUUGCAAACUUCUAGAACCCAAUCUUUAGGAUAAAAUGAAAAUAUAUCGGAGGAUAUGGGAAUAGAUAUGUUAACAGCACAUUGAUGCUGUUAGACAUGAAAAAAUAAUAUGGCCAACAUGCAGUGACUGUUAUUAAAAUGGAGUGGUGAAGCAGAAAUAUAACAGAUGGCUGUCAGAGGGUUGCUUUCAGUGAACAAGAACAUCAAUCCUGAUGCUUGGAUGGAGAGAGCGCUGGAUGAAUUUCACUUGUUACCUAAACUGCAUCAGGCAAUAUAUCAAAAUAAUUUAGAAAAUGUUAAAAAUUUGAUAAACAGUGGGUGCAAUAUUAAUGAAAAGAAUGACAUGGGAGAAACCGCACUCUAUUUUGCAGCUUAUUUUGGAAAACAGAAUGCAUGGAAGAAUUGCUAGUUAGUCCAUAUGUAGAUGUGAACCAUUGGUCUUUCAUUCCUGGUAGGACAGGGCCCUUCGUUUCUGCAAAUCCAACACCUUUAGAAAGAGCCUGUGGGAUUGUAAGUCCUGAUUUGGUUCGGCUUUUGUUGAACAAUGGUGCAAGGGCUGAUGGUAUUUAUCAGAAGUCCUGUGUGAGAAUACCACUGUUAUGUCUUUUUCAUUUACUGGACACCUUGUCUUCAUUUAAGCUGGACACAUGUCAGAAAAUACAGGAUUUUCAAAGGUGCAUUGAACUCUUAUUAUGUCAUGGCAUUAAAAAUGAUGUAAUGCAAUUGUUUACUAGACCAAAAGAUUAUAGAAAAAAAACAGUGGCUGGUGCAAGACUGAGAACUAUCACCAAUAUAAGACAGCAGAUAAGAAAAAAGAACAUGGAGGAAUAUUUUCCAGAAUAUUUGAAGUCAGAAUGGAAGAGAUUUCUGUCUUGGCUACAAUUUAAAGAGAACAAUGUAUCAUCUUUAAAAUCCUUAGUGCGAAUGAAAAUAAGAGAAACAGUAGGUCACAGAGUCCAAUGUCAUGUUAAAGAAUUACCUAUUCCAAGAUUGCUUAAGGAAUGUGUGCUCCUGUAUGAUAUUUGAUGAGCUGACAACAUUCAUUCACAUAAUUUUACAAGCAUAAUUUAAUAGAAAAGCAAAUGUCUUUUUAGGCUAUGCCUGGAUGUUCAUAUGUACAUGUAUAACUACUGGUGCUGUUAUAAUAAAUGCUACAU